UACGGAGGGUGCAAGCGUUAAUCGGAAUUACUGGGCGUAAAGCGUGCGCAGGCGAUUUGUUAAGUCUGCUGUGAAAUCCCCGAGCUCAACUUGGGAAUUGCAGUGGAUACUGGCAGGCUGGAGUAUGGUAGAGGAAGGUGGAAUUCCCGGUGUAGCAGUGAAAUGCGUAGAGAUCGGGAGGAACACCAGUGGCGAAGGCGGCCUUCUGGACCAAUACUGACGCUCAUGCACGAAAGCGUGGGGAGCAAACAGG
rnacentral:rRNA from 1 species